CAUGAUUAGGAUGAAGCUGGAAACACAGAAGCAUCUUCAGUCUCUGCGUUAUUCCAGUUUCUUCAAAAAAACCACUGUGUAGCCCUUGCUCUUAUAUCUCUUAAAAGCUGCUGUCAAAAUAGAUGUUCUUCCCCAAAAAAAGAAUCUCUCCUCCUCACUAGAUGAAUGAAAUAUCUUUACUUAUAAAGUAAGGGUUUUUUGUAAAUGUCUCUAAAAAAAGGCAACAUAAUUAAUGGAAUAUUUUUUUAUUAGGCAAAUUAUGCUGAUUACCAGCAGUCAACUGUAUUGCUGCAAAGCAUUCUGACAGUUUGUCUGAAUUAUUUGUGUGCCUAGACUUUAAGCUCUUUGGGCAGGAAUGAUUCUCUCCCAGCGUAAGAUACAUUAAACACAGUAAACCCCCUAAAAAAUCCACUUCUGUCUCUACAGAAAAAAUGCUGAGAAGUCUGAAAGGACUUGUCUACCAUCCUCUAAAGUUGGACCAUGGAUAUGCCCUCCAUACGGCAGCCAAAGAUUGCUUAAGUUCCAUUGUCAGCCAGGAUGUCCAAACACUGGCAGAAAGACCCAGAACAGUUUUCUAUACCAGCGAGAAUGACCCGGUGAGUUACUGCCACAAUUGUUAUUGUCAGACAGCAAGUGCCUAAAUUCCAUCAGUCUGCCUGUGGACGUGCUGGAGCCCAGAGUGCUUACUGGGAUUGUGUUGUUCUAGUAGACGUAAGGGAAGGGAGUACACAGGCCUAAUAAUAGGCAUCUAGACCAUGAUCCCCAGCCCAAAGGGAAACAGGCUGUGGCUGUGCAGUGCCGCCUGCCUGGGUUUAAACAAGACAGGGCUGGUCCUCUGCCUGAAAGCUCCUGGGAACAAGUAUUGAUUCCUUCUCUAUAGUUGCACAGAUGAGAUGAUAGACUGUGUAUUGUAGAAGCUCAGAUGUGGCUUAGUUUGUCAUCAGACGCCAUUAAUUUCAACUCCAGGGUUAUUCUUCCCUCACUAACCUCCCCAAAUUGGCUAUGAAGGGUGAUAGAAAACACACCCCAGAUGACCUCAGCACAGCACAGCUCUCCAGCAUCAUAAUUCCAGCCUCACACUCUGUCUCAAGCACAAAAUGAAGUGGAAUAAAUGAAUGGAAUAAGCCUUUGAGAUGCUUUUCUGCUGCCUGUGUAAUUGGAGUCUUUCAAUACUGAUUCCUCUGGGGUCUCUAUGGAAACAGCAGCAUGCAGAUGAUCUUGCUCACGUGAUGCAAGUGUCUCUAUAGAUUGCACAGAAGAGUCCAGAUGGCAAGGAUUGUCCCCACUGUCCUGUGCCUACCAUUUAUGUUGCCAGGCAACUGGCUUUGGCAUUCUGACUUCAUGGGCCUGAUGUUUGGCGACAACCACCAUUGCUUAUUAAUUUGUCAGAUCAGUGUUCUUCGGACUUGCUGUAUUGCAGAUCGCAUAUUGCAGCAGAGGGGCUCCGCUGUCUCGCUUCAUCAGCAAACCUGAUAGCUCUGAUGGCACAUGUACUUGUGCACCAUAAAGUCCCAUUAAAAAUGGAUUAAGACCAGAUGAAAACUAAAUUUUUAAUAAGAAUUAGCUUUUAUAUACCUUUCCAUUAGCAAAACUCAGAGUGACUGAACAUGAGGAUAAAGAUACUGACCCACUUUACAGAUGUAGGAACUGAAGAGUGAAGGAAUUUGGCCAAG
rnacentral:lncRNA from 1 species